AUACUUACCUAGCAGGGGAGAUACCAUGGUCAAGAAGGUGGUUGACCCAGGACGAGGCUCAUCCAUUGCACUCUGGUUGUGCUGACCCCUGUGAAAUCCCCAAAUGUGGGAAUCUCAAAUGCGUAAUUUCUUGUGGUGGGGUUCCAGAUCACACUCUUCCUUG